UACGUAGGCAGCAAGCGUUGUUCGGAGUUAUUGGGCGUAAAGCGCGCGCAGGCGGUCCUUUAAGUCUGAUGUGAAAGCCCACGGCUCAACCGUGGAGGGUCAUUGGAAACUGGGGGACUUGAGUACAGAAGAGAAGAGUGGAAUUCCACGUGUAGCGGUGAAAUGCGUAGAGAUGUGGAGGAACACCAGUGGCGAAGGCGACUCUUUGGUCUGUAACUGACGCUGAGGCGCGAAAGCGUGGGGAGCAAACAGG
rnacentral:rRNA from 1 species